rnacentral:rRNA from 1 species
CGUACCUUUUGUAUAAUGGGUCAGCGACUUAUAUUCUGUAGCAAGGUUAACCGAAUAGGGGAGCCGAAGGGAAACCGAGUCUUAACCGGGCGUUAAGUUGCAGGGUAUAGACCCGAAACCCGGUGAUCUAGCCAUGGGCAGGUUGAAGGUUGGGUAACACUAACUGGAGGACCGAACCGACUAAUGUUGAAAAAUUAGCGGAUGACUUGUGGCUGGGGGUGAAAGGCCAAUCAAACCGGGAGAUAGCUGGUUCUCCCCGAAAGCUAUUUAGGUAGCGCCUCGUGAAUUCAUCUCCGGGGGUAGAGCACUGUUUCGGCAAGGGGGUCAUCCCGACUUACCAACCCGAUGCAAACUGCGAAUACCGGAGAAUGUUAUCACGGGAGACACACGGCGGGUGCUAACGUCCGUCGUGAAGAGGGAAACAACCCAGACCGCCAGCUAAGGUCCCAAAGUCAUGGUUAAGUGGGAAACGAUGUGGGAAGGCCCAGACAGCCAGGAUGUUGGCUUAGAAGCAGCCAUCAUUUAAAGAAAGCGUAAUAGCUCACUGGUCGAGUCGGCCUGCGCGGAAGAUGUAACGGGGCUAAACCAUGCACCGAAGCUGCGGCAGCGACACUGUGUGUUGUUGGGUAGGGGAGCGUUCUGUAAGCCUGUGAAGGUGUGCUGUGAGGCAUGCUGGAGGUAUCAGAAGUGCGAAUGCUGACAUAAGUAACGAUAAAGCGGGUGAAAAGCCCGCUCGCCGGAAGACCAAGGGUUCCUGUCCAACGUUAAUCGGGGCAGGGUGAGUCGACCCCUAAGGCGAGGCCGAAAGGCGUAGUCGAUGGGAAACAGGUUAAUAUUCCUGUACUUGGUGUUACUGCGAAGGGGGGACGGAGAAGGCUAUGUUGGCCGGGCGACGGUUGUCCCGGUUUAAGCGUGUAGGCUGGUUUUCCAGGCAAAUCCGGAAAAUCAAGGCUGAGGCGUGAUGACGAGGCACUACGGUGCUGAAGCAACAAAUGCCCUGCUUCCAGGAAAAGCCUCUAAGCAUCAGGUAACAUCAAAUCGUACCCCAAACCGACACAGGUGGUCAGGUAGAGAAUACCAAGGCGCUUGAGAGAACUCGGGUGAAGGAACUAGGCAAAAUGGUGCCGUAACUUCGGGAGAAGGCACGCUGAUAUGUAGGUGAAGUCCCUCGCGGAUGGAGCUGAAAUCAGUCGAAGAUACCAGCUGGCUGCAACUGUUUAUUAAAAACACAGCACUGUGCAAACACGAAAGUGGACGUAUACGGUGUGACGCCUGCCCGGUGCCGGAAGGUUAAUUGAUGGGGUCAGCGCAAGCGAAGCUCUUGAUCGAAGCCCCGGUAAACGGCGGCCGUAACUAUAACGGUCCUAAGGUAGCGAAAUUCCUUGUCGGGUAAGUUCCGACCUGCACGAAUGGCGUAAUGAUGGCCAGGCUGUCUCCACCCGAGACUCAGUGAAAUUGAACUCGCUGUGAAGAUGCAGUGUACCCGCGGCAAGACGGAAAGACCCCGUGAACCUUUACUAUAGCUUGACACUGAACAUUGAGCCUUGAUGUGUAGGAUAGGUGGGAGGCUUUGAAGUGUGGACGCCAGUCUGCAUGGAGCCGACCUUGAAAUACCACCCUUUAAUGUUUGAUGUUCUAACGUGGACCCGUGAUCCGGGUUGCGGACAGUGUCUGGUGGGUAGUUUGACUGGGGCGGUCUCCUCCUAAAGAGUAACGGAGGAGCACGAAGGUUGGCUAAUCCUGGUCGGACAUCAGGAGGUUAGUGCAAUGGCAUAAGCCAGCUUGACUGCGAGCGUGACGGCGCGAGCAGGUGCGAAAGCAGGUCAUAGUGAUCCGGUGGUUCUGAAUGGAAGGGCCAUCGCUCAACGGAUAAAAGGUACUCCGGGGAUAACAGGCUGAUACCGCCCAAGAGUUCAUAUCGACGGCGGUGUUUGGCACCUCGAUGUCGGCUCAUCACAUCCUGGGGCUGAAGUAGGUCCCAAGGGUAUGGCUGUUCGCCAUUUAAAGUGGUACGCGAGCUGGGUUUAGAACGUCGUGAGACAGUUCGGUCCCUAUCUGCCGUGGGCGCUGGAGAACUGAGGGGGGCUGCUCCUAGUACGAGAGGACCGGAGUGGACGCAUCACUGGUGUUCGGGUUGUCAUGCCAAUGGCACUGCCCGGUAGCUAAAUGCGGAAGAGAUAAGUGCUGAAAGCAUCUAAGCACGAAACUUGCCCCGAGAUGAGUUCUCCCUGACCCUUUAAGGGUCCUGAAGGAACGUUGAAGACGACGACGUUGAUAGGCCGGGUGUGUAAGCGCAGCGAUGCGUUGAGCUAACCGGUACUAAUGAACCGUGAGGCUUAACCUUACAACGCCGAAGGUGUUU